rnacentral:tRNA from 1 species
GGUUGUGGCUCAGCGGUAGAGCGCUCACCUAGCAUGCGCGAGGCCCUGGGUUCAAAUCUCAACACCA